rnacentral:lncRNA from 1 species
GGGUCCGGGUCCCGGAGCAAGUUGAAGAGAUGGAGGGAGUGUGUUUGCAGGGGGUGGGGGGGGGUGCAGGGGAGACUUCAGGGGGCCCUGCCCUCUGAGCACUAGACAAGGAGCCCGAGCCCCACGGCCGCCUCCGCGCAGCCCACGGGAGCAGAAUGCCCAGCAACCGGCUGCCCCCCCGGGAGUGCCCCCGAGGAAUCCCUCCCAGCUGUCCCCUGCCCCCCCUCUGUCCUGGCCCCGGGCUCUCCGUCCCCGGGGAAGCUGUCACUGUCUGUCAUCCUAGCGCGGCUAACAGUGGUGCCCGCGGGGGGGUGGGGGGCGGUGGGGGUGGGCAGUGUGCUGGUCUCUGCCGUGAGGACCAGGACCCAGAAGCCGGGGGUAGGGGGGUGGGGUGGGGAUGGGGGGGAAACACCUUGGCCCCAGGGGGCCCAGAGCCUACCAACUGUACUGCAAGAGUGGGGGCAGCCCAGAUCCUACAAAGAACCCAGGCUCCAACCUGCUGGAGGCGAGCGGCCUUCCGCGGCCGGCGGGAAAUGGGAUAGCACCCCAAGUGACCUCCUCGGAGCUCUGUCCAGCCGGUGGCCGCAGCCGUGGGCACCGUGGGGGCUGGGCCCUCCUGCCCUGGGGACCCCCCCUCCCGUGCACCCCACUCCCGUGGGCUUGGGCUGGAUCGCGGGGAGCCGUCCGUGGGCAGCAGGAGGCCCUGCCGCCAGGCCGGGGACCGUGGCGAUGCUGUGCUCUGGGGGCCCGAGAGCCCAGGAGACAAGAAGGCGUGUGGCUUGUGUUCAAAAGGGACAAUCGCCUGCAGUUAGUGGAUCUAGCGAUCUAGUUGAGAGAUAACAGUGUUUAACCCAUAUGAAGUAUUCGAUAGUUCUACUUGUGAAUUUGUAUUUAUUUUGAGUUAUACUUGACACAGAAUUCCUUUUUCUUUUUUUUUUAAAGAAAAAUACUAUGUGUGUAUUUUGAAGAAAAAAAAUCAUAGAUGUUAAAAUUUCUUCUGGUUACCCAUUUUUCUCACAACACUGAAUUUGUUACCUUCUCCGGAAAAAAAUCUUCACAGUGAUUUUUGUCUGUAUAUAUUUGAGGGCCUUUUUUUUUCUUAAAAAAAAAAAAAAAGAAAAGAAAAGAAAAAGAAAAAUAUAAUUGCUUGAUUUUUGAGGCUAAAACACAAAAAGAGGCAUUUUCAAAACUUGGGAGCUUUCAGGAGGGCAAUAGAAUAUCAAAUGAAGAUUUCUGGAAGUAUUUUGCAAACCUUCUGGUCAAGCUGCAAGAAUAUAUUUAUGGUGAGAACUUUUCUCUUUUCUCCUGUUGUUGGUUUCUUUUGUUUGUUUCGUUUUUGUUUUUGGUUUGAUUAUUUUUUUUUUUUUACUAUGCUUUGAUCUGUAAAAAGUAUGCAACGGAACUACAUUAAGAAGGAAAUAUUGUCUACAUAGAAUAUUAUAUGAAGUUGGUACAUAAUUCUGAUGAGGAAAAAAAAAUCUUUGCGAUUCUUUAAGCCAUAUUGUUGUUAUUCUGUGUUGUUUUCCUUGGAUGAAAAUAUCAGUAUUAAGUAGCCAAGCAUAUUAUUCAAGUGCUUAGACUUAUUAAUAUGUCCGUGUCCUGUAUUUAUACGUAUGUGUAUUUUGGAAAGUAUUGCUUUUUUUUUUUUUUUAAGGGAAGCUAUUAUUAGAUACAUAGCAGAAGAAGGGAAUAGUGAUCCCUUUGAGCCUCUUCAGCUGAGGGUAACAAACACAGCAUUGUAAUCCAUUCUCUUGCACCUUCUUAUUAUUAUCUUGUUAUUAUGGUUAUUAACUUUGCGUGGGGUGGGCAGGGAGUGGGCCGGCCGAAGAAGGGGCACAGCAGUGUUACACAGCCAGCGUGUGAGGACGGUCCGGCCCCUGCCUGGUUGGCCAGCUCCGAAGGUGACCUCCUUGGCCUGGUGGAGGGCCCCGGUCAGCAGAGCCCGGGAGGGAAGAGGAAGCGGGAGGCAGAGUUCUCCACGCCCCUCUUUGGAGCUUUGCCAUCUGAGCCACGCCUCUGGGCCCCAGGCCGUUUGAACUGGAUUUGUCAACCAGAGCC